GAUGAACGCUGGCGGCGUGCCUAAUACAUGCAAGUCGAGCGAACAGAUAAGGAGCUUGCUCCUUUGACGUUAGCGGCGGACGGGUGAGUAACACGUGGGUAACCUACCUAUAAGACUGGAAUAACUCCGGGAAACCGGGGCUAAUGCCGGAUAACAUUUAGAACCGCAUGGUUCUAAAGUGAAAGAUGGUUUUGCUAUCACUUAUAGAUGGACCCGCGCCGUAUUAGCUAGUUGGUAAGGUAACGGCUUACCAAGGCAACGAUACGUAGCCGACCUGAGAGGGUGAUCGGCCACACUGGAACUGAGACACGGUCCUGACUCCUACGGGAGGCAGCAGUAGGGAAUCUUCCGCAAUGGGCGAAAGCCUGACGGAGCAACGCCGCGUGAGUGAUGAAGGUCUUCGGAUCGUAAAACUCUGUUAUUAGGGAAGAACAAAUGUGUAAGUAACUGUGCACGUCUUGACGGUACCUAAUCAGAAAGCCACGGCUAACUACGUG
rnacentral:rRNA from 1 species